GUGGGGAAUAUUGGACAAUGGGCGAAAGCCUGAUCCAGCCAUGCCGCGUGUGUGAAGAAGGUCUUCGGAUUGUAAAGCACUUUAAGUUGGGAGGAAGGGCAGUAAGUUAAUACCUUGCUGUUUUGACGUUACCAACAGAAUAAGCACCGGCUAACUUCGUGCCAGCAGCCGCGGUAAUACGAAGGGUGCAAGCGUUAAUCGGAAUUACUGGGCGUAAAGCGCGCGUAGGUGGUUCAGCAAGUUGAAGGUGAAAUCCCCGAGCUCAACCUGGGAACUGCCUCCAAAACUACUGAGCUAGAGUACGGUAGAGGGUAGUGGAAUUACCUGUGUAGCGGUGAAAUGCGUAGAUAUAGGAAGGAACACCAGUAGCGAAGGCGACUACCUGGACUGAUACUGACACUGAGGUGCGAAAGCGUGGGGAGCAAACAGGAUUAGAAACCCGGGUAGUCC
rnacentral:rRNA from 1 species